CUAAAGUGUUUCCUGUUACCUU
rnacentral:siRNA from 1 species